GGCUGGAUAGUUCAGUGGUAGAAUUCUUGCUUUGGGAACAUGUUCAAGCCUGGGUUCAAUCCCCAGUUCAGCCC
rnacentral:tRNA from 1 species